ACCGGUCAUGUGCGCUCGUCUCCGAGACGCUCGCGAAAGCAUAACUCGAACUAAUUCAAAAGUCAUUAUAACUCGAAUUGUUUAAAAAGUUUGUGGACAUUUUGGUGAAGUGUUUGUUGUGAAUGUGCAUUUUUUAUGCUUUCUAAUGUGCAUCGGUAAGGCGUUCAAGUGAAAUUGAAGGCACCGGGAAUUUUACUUGUCUUAGAGUAUUUACUUUACGGAUAAUUAAACAAAGACAAUGAAUACUGAAAUCAGUGAUACUAGUUACACAAUAUAUGCCUGAUUUUUCUGCUGUGCUAAAAAUUGCUAAUAGAGAUUAUGAAAUUAUAAAGUGAAAAGUGUUAAAGAGCUGAAGUGACAGUUGUGUGCUAGAAAGAGACAACAUGCCUGAUACUCUGUCCCUGUCUGCUGGAGUUAGUUUGGGACUGCUGGCCGGGAUAGUGUCUGGAGUGUGCUACCUCGUCGCUAAUGGACUUGCCUGGACUAAGCCUGACGACCGCCAUCGGCGAUGUCUGCCGUCGCCAGAUGACGGCGUCUGCUUCAAGUGCGGCGGCGACACACGAGGUGGACUGGUGCCUUGCAUCUGCAGACCAAAGCCACUGAAGUUCGAAUCUGGCGCGUGGUUUCUGCACCAAGUGCAGCGCGCCGUUAGCCUCAUGCCCUGGAGUCUCAGCACGGACAAGCUGGAGCAAAUCGAUGAGGAGUACGAGGGCCGGGAGAGCCCUGGCCCGAGCGACACUCACGAACUGCGCAAUGUCCGGGAGUUCCUCGAGACACUGUCUGCCAAGCUGGCUGGAGGACCUUUGGAAGGCACCAGGGUUGCGCCACUCUAUGACCAUCCUGCCUAUGAGCGCAUGUUCGAGCGUCACCACGGAGCCCUGCGCGGCACUCUCGCAGCCCUAUCAACAGCGCUACGAGACGCGCUCACACAUCUGCCAGCAUCCCGCCGCGGUUCCCAAUCAAGCGCUUCCACCGCACACCCCAGCGGUGCAAGCGGAGCCCAUGUCCAUCUCAAGCGCCUCGUAGCGAGGGUAGUGGAGGAGGCUGCAGCGCUUCCAGCACUCGCUAGAUACGCUGCAGAACCGCCGCGCACACCAACUUUGGAGUCGUCUACGUAUGAAGAUUUGCUGGCUACCGCUAUUUUGAAUAAGGUCAUCGAACGCUACCAGACUGAGAAUGGGUCCGGAGGUCGCAGCAGCGGCAUCCACUCCGCGAGCGCCAGUCCCACGCCGUCAGAGCGCUCAUCACCCAGGUCUCUCAACUCUAGGCACUUGAGGGACACCACUCCACCUCUUCGCGAGGUAGAUGUGUCUGACUGGGAAGAAGGGGAUGUCUCAGAAGAUGUGGCGGAGCUGCCGCGACGAGUGCCAUUCCCCGAGUUCGGAGGGGACAUAGUUCAUCAAGCUACUGAAAACGAAGACCGCGACUUCGAUGAAGUUUCCGGUAGCGAUAUACAAGCGGUCGACGGCAGCUGGGAGGAGAACUGGCUUUUCCAAAAGAAAAAGAUUAAAACAAUUCAAUCAGUCCCAGUGCCAAUGCUAGUUCCGAACAGCAACACCGAAUACAGAGUCCUCAUUGGGGACAGAGACGCUGAUGAUACUACAGAUCUGUCGGAUAAUGCUAGUGAUGCUGAAGAAGAUGCAGAAUACAAAAGCGAUAUCAAAAGGGUUCUAGACUCAAAACACUUAAUAGGCGGAAAAACGAAAAUCGACGAAGAAGAUUUUGAACCAGACAGUCUCACCAUCAUAGACGGCAAUGAUGAUUUUGAGAAAAGCAACGAUUUCGAAUUCCAAGAUAAGCAAGUACUAGAUGCGGUAAAUAAUGAUAUAAAUGAUAACAAAAUUAAGGAAAAUGGAAAUGACUCUGUUAUGAUACUUGACAUAGACAGUGGACCAUUGUCAAAAGCAGAAUUCAAUUUAAAAGAGGAAAUACAUAGGACAUUGCUCAAUGGAAAUGGAGAAUUUGUUAAUAUUGAUGAAUUGAACAGCAUUACAAGCGACGUAAACAAAGAUGUCGUAGACGUUUUCACAAGUGCAAAAGGGUCAACGAACACAUUAGCGAGUCGCCAUGAAAGGGAAGGCGAAUAUGAAGAGACUGUAGCAAGGCCGGUCCAAAGAUAUGCCGAUAGUCUUAGACGGCAGCAUUUCCACGACGAACCACAAGAAAUUCCAACUAGAGAUACUGACAAGGAAGAUGACCUUAUACCAGGUUCAAUAGCAUAUAGAGAGCGUAAAAAAUGGCUCAACUAUGUAGAAAUGCCCAAUAAUCCAUAUUCACCCGAAGCUAUACAAAAGAGGCUGAUGACUAAAAGUACAUCCUCCUUAUUUGAUAUACUUACUACCAAAACAAACGAUUUAAACGAUGAGAAUGAGACAGAUAUAUCGAAGGAUGUUCCAGAUCCUAAAACAUCACUAAACGAAGAGGCUUCUGUAAAAGAAGUUAAAGAAAAUGGACACACCUUAAAUGUUAACGGGAAUGUUAAUAUGAAUGGUAGGAGAUCUAAAAGUCCGUCACCUAAGUUAUUAAAGAAUGUAUUGGCUGAGGAAAUACCUCCAUACAAACGAUACGACAGAGAUUAUUAUAUAAGGGAAGCCAAAUCUUCAGCGGGAAGUCGUAAGAAGAAUAAUUUCAGCGACACAAGUUCCCUUUCGUCGAUGAAUAAAUCGAUCAGUUUAGAUAAUUUCGAUACAGAGUUAUCUCCUGUAAGUGCUAGCAGUUCGUUGAGCGACCUCGAGGCCUCAGCCCUUCAUCAAAACAUCGUCCGUGCCUUUCUAAGUCCACGAAAUGGAAGCCCCAACUUUGCAAUAAAUCCUAUUUUUGAAAACCCCGACAAACAGAACGAUAAUGACGAAAAUCAUAUGACAGACAAUCGUAAUGUUAGUCGAUAUGCCAACGUAAGAGAACAAAGUACAACUGCGUGCGAUGAAGGUGACGGUUAUGUGGAAAACGAGGAUAUAGUUAGACUAAAAAUACCAAAUAAGCCUGAAAUCACCGAAGAUCUAUUCGAGAGUUAUGACGAUGUUAGGCGGAACAACACUCUAAGAAGCGAAGACCUGUGCGUCCGCGCCAAACGGCACACGGGUCUCAAUUAUACAUUCGGCGGAAGCUUAAGGCUAAGCAAAGGUUUCCGUAACGACCUCUGGUGAAAAAUUCCCGUAAAUUUCAAAAACAUUUAUUUCACCUUCAAUCUAAGCACUCAUACUGACAAUGUAAUAGAUCCUACCGAAGUCUAAACUCUAUGUAAUAUAUGAAUCUCUUUGACUAUGUACGAUACAUACAUAGAUACCCAGAUUGGUCAUAUUAAUAAUAAUUCUAUAAACCACCUUCAAUAAAAUAUUUUAAGUGGUGUAAGGAACUGUAAUCAUAACUAAACCGUCCACAAAAUCUAAAAUAUCUUCGUUUUGACACACGAGCCUGUGUGUGUUUAAGUUGGCAUGUUUUGUUUUAAAUAUGAAACCGCAGACUAACAUCACUCUGCACUUAUAAAUAGGAGAGUAUCUCUUAGUCUUGCACUAGAUUUGUGUCCUUCCUAAUAAAUAUUUUCAGUACUAUAAUUACAGUAAUCCUCCAAGAAGUUAGUGGGAUUACUUAUAAAGCAAAUCAAUACGAUUGCUGCAAACCAAGAGUAUACGAAGUUUGCUAAAGACCAACCUAAGGAAUCCAUAACAAUAACAACAAGUAGUAAUAAAACGGAGAUAUUAAUAGAAUACGAUGACGACACUCAUGAACAAACACUAUUUUCUGCUAAACCUGUAUAUGUAGAUGAUGACACUGAUCAACGUUUUGAAGAGAUAAUGCAAGAUGCUUAUGCAACAGGGGAUACUGAAAUAAAAAUAAAUAAUGAACCUAUAAAAUCACCAACUAAUGUAAGCGUAGAUAAUUCUUACAUAAGCACGAGUAGUUUAGAAGACUCAAUUAAGAUCUACAACGUGCAAACAGGCGAGAUAGUGAAGUGCCAGCCGGAAGAUAAGUUAUCACAAUUCGAGGUAACUGACAAAAAAGACAACAUCGACAUUGUAGAUAAGACACCAGAAGAAACAGAGUCUAGUGUAAGUGAAAACGUAGACGAUGAAUUAGUGACGAUCGUUGAAAAAUCUCAAGAAACAGAAAUAACAGAUGAAGAAACAAUUAAAGAAUUAGAAAGGAUUAGUGAAGUGGAAGAAAUAUUAGCGCAGUUACCUAAAGUGAAGGAAUUGGCGAAGAAAUUUGUUAGCAUGGAUAACAUACACGAACCGGUCAAGCUACCACAACCAGUCUUCAAGCGUCGAAAGAGCAAAGACAACCUUUUAAACUCAGAAAAAUCGAGCAAAGUCUACAUGCACAGUUUAACGGCCAGAAGUAUUUCCAAAGAGUUUAGAGAGGAACUCAAAAUGUCUAUGGCCACCCCUCUCACCGUUCCCGGGGGGUCCAAGGAGAUUCCCGAGGGAGAAGAGGUCACCAAGGAAUCCAGCAGGCCAGGCAGCCCCUUACCAGAACCGGGUACAAUCAAGACGAAACUGGCGUUUUUCGAAAGUCUCAAAUCUAAGUUUAGUACCAAAUAGUAUAUUAGUGUUCUUACUUUCAAUUUCGGUUUACUCUUCUAAAAAUAUGCGCAAGAAUCUGUUUACAGUAAGAAAGUUGCGUUAUUUAAUAGGGCAAUCUUGUGUGAUUUUUCAAAGCGUAAAUCAGUAUUUAUAUUUGUAUGUUAUCUGUCGGUGUAUUUAAAACAAGUCUCCACAUCAGGUCCAAACGGUCGCUAGUUAAAUUUCAAGUUAGUCGCCACUGUCCUCUACCACAUGUAUCAAAGUUGUAUCUAAAUGGUCAUUUUCGAGAUUUGAAUCAUCUGAUAAUACCUAUGUAUGUAAGAUAGGAAAUACCUAUCUGCACGUAUCACCAUUCCCUGUCAAUGACUAAUAAGUAAAAUAACAACUUUUAUUGAUAAGUCUCAAUUGACUUACAUAUUUCAGUGUUUUCCAAAAUGUCUCAUCUAGAUGUCACUAUUUAUCGCUUCUGAUCUGUAUUUAUCUCAUUACUCUCUUCCGGUAAAUGUAUUUUAAUAUAUAAUUUUUACUUUUAAUUAAUACUUAACUUUUAUGAUUCUAUACAUUUAUUUCACUGCUUACAGUCAGUUAUCAAGUUCAAAUUACAUCACAUUUUCCAAUUUGCCAAUAUGAUCUACUCGUAUACUAUCGACGAAAGCGGACGCGAAUGUGUGCCGAAUCCGUUCGAAGUUCGGCGAACUUUUCCGCGAUAGUGUGGAGCCGGCAUGAAAUUGAUCGAUCACAAUAAUACUACUACAUUGACAGAGAAAUAUCAACAUCUACAGAUUGCUAGCAUUUCCGAAUCAAUAUGGUCCAUUAUAUUGAAAUUAUUUCUUGAGGAUAACUAAAAAAUAAUAGAAUUGUCAAAAUGCAAUUAAAUAAACUACUAUUUGUUUACAUAGUAAACAAUUCACGUAGUUUGUUCACAUAGCACAUAAAAAAUACAUUUUUAUUUCCUUUUUUUUUUUUAAUUUUGUGGACGAGUUAUUGUAUAUAAUUAUUUAAUUAGGAUAUGUUGUAAAUAUAUAGUGCCAUUUCGUCAUUUUCAUCUUAUAUAUAAAUUAAUUUAGUAAACGCCAAAAUUGUAAAUAACAUUAUAAUUUCUAUUGGUUGGGUCCAUAAAAUAAAAUCUUAAUUACGUGUAAAUUCGGUUUAAGAUGUGCAAUAGUUGAUUCCCUAGAUUCAGCUAAAGUUAAUGUGAUAUAAUAAAAAUAGCUAUGAAUGAUUUAAGAUAUAAUGUACCUAUUUGUCAAUAAACAUUUUAAUAAAAUACAAGAAUAUUGAAGUAAACAUUU